rnacentral:rRNA from 1 species
UAGUCGUUACGCGGGAGCCUUAGUGCUGCUUCUCGGCCCGGAGAGGGGUAGCUGGCUCCUGAUCUUAGCGGCGGACGGGUGAGUAAUGCUUAGGAAUCUGCCUAUUAGUGGGGGACAACAUUUCGAAAGGAAUGCUAAUACCGCAUACGUCCUACGGGAGAAAGCAGGGGAUCUUCGGACCUUGCGCUAAUAGAUGAGCCUAAGUCGGAUUAGCUAGUUGGUGGGGUAAAGGCCUACCAAGGCGACGAUCUGUAGCGGGUCUGAGAGGAUGAUCCGCCACACUGGGACUGAGACACGGCCCAGACUCCUACGGGAGGCAGCAGUGGGGAAUAUUGGACAAUGGGCGCAAGCCUGAUCCAGCCAUGCCGCGUGUGUGAAGAAGGCCUUAUGGUUGUAAAGCACUUUAAGCGAGGAGGAGGCUACUUUAGUUAAUACCUAGAGAUAGUGGACGUUACUCGCAGAAUAAGCACCGGCUAACUCUGUGCCAGCAGCCGCGGUAAUACAGAGGGUGCAAGCGUUAAUCGGAUUUACUGGGCGUAAAGCGCGCGUAGGCGGCUAAUUAAGUCAAAUGUGAAAUCCCCGAGCUUAACUUGGGAAUUGCAUUCGAUACUGGUUAGCUAGAGUGUGGGAGAGGAUGGUAGAAUUCCAUGUGUAGCGGUGAAAUGCGUAGAGAUCUGGAGGAAUACCGAU